rnacentral:rRNA from 1 species
UACGGAGGGUGCGAGCGUUGUCCGGAAUCACUGGGCGUAAAGGGCGCGUAGGCGGCGCGGGGAGUCAACGGUGAAAGCUCGGCGCUCAACGCCGAGUCGGCCGUCGAUACUCCCGUGCUCGAGCACUGUAGAGGCAGGUGGAAUUCCGGGUGUAGCGGUGGAAUGCGUAGAGAUCCGGAAGAACACCGGUGGCGAAGGCGGCAUCCUGGACCGGCAUUGACGCUGAGGAGCGAAAGCGUGGGGAGCGAACAGG